AUGAGCUCCCACAGCACUGGUAAGAGUGUGCAUCGAAGAGCCUGCAGUACCGAGUGGACCACCUGCUGAGAGCCAUGAAGCGUGAGCAACAAGCCAGGCAUUGAGAAGGGUGACCAUGUAGAGUGAAAGUGGCACAUAGGCCUGGAGGAGAGCAAGUUGUGGCUAUGCUUCAAGGAGCUCACCAAUGACAUGAUCACCACCAGGAAUGCCAGGAAGUUGUUUCCAGUGCCAAGCAUGUCUGGCCUGGCUUUAAGAGCCAUGUACUCCUUCUUGCUGGACUUCAUGGAGGCCCACAGUAAGCGCUGGAAGAAAACCAGGAGUGGGAACCAGGAAUGGGUGCCAGAGGGCAAGCCUGAGCUGCAGGUGCUCAGGUGUGUGCCCAUCCAGCCCAAUUCCCCCAACUCAGGGCCCUACUAGAUGAAGGUGUCCAUCUCCCUCAGCAAAGUCAAGAUCAACAACUAGCUACACAGAGGGGGCCUGAUUAUGUCAAACUCCUUAAUAAGCACCAGCCUCGAAUUCACAUAGUGAGAGUGGGGUGUCCACAACACAUGAUCACUAGCCAUUGCUUUCCGAGACCUAGUUCAUAAAUAACUGUGACAGCUUAUCAGAAUGAAGAGCUCACAGCUGAAAAUUAAACACAAUCCAUUUGCAAAAGCUUCCCUGGAUGCAAAGGAAAGAAGCAAUUACAAAGAUAUGAUGGAAGAACUCCAAGGCAGCCAGGAAGAACCCCAAUCUAGGAACUCCCAUUCAGUGGGUAGCUUAUUCCUAGAACCAGUACCUUCUGUCCACCUGCCAACCCCCAUCCUCAGUUUGGAGGCCUCCCUCACUUCCUUCCACAUACAGCUGUGAAAGGUACCCUGCCCUGAGGAACCAACAUUCAUCCUCCUACCCUAGCCCUGUGCUCACUGGAACAGUUCUCCAACACAUUCUUGAAAG
rnacentral:lncRNA from 10 species